rnacentral:lncRNA from 1 species
ACCAAACAUCCCCAAACCCUCCAAACCCUCCAAACCCGUUCCAUUCACUCCACCCCCAUCCCUCCCUUCGUCUCUCUCAAGAGACCAAUACCCAAGAACCCAAGCUAGCCGCCACCCCUCCACCCGCCUGAAAACCCGGCGGCGCCGGCUCCUUUUGCCACCAAAUACACACCACUGAACCUCCUAAAUCCCCUCUUCAUGAAUCCAUGACCCGUUUAGUUCGAAUCAUGCUCUAGCUCCUCGUUCGAGUAAAAUACAAAACCAUCCCAACUGGCCCCAAACACACCCCAAACACGUCCCUAGCCUCCCUCGUCACCAAACCAUACCUGGUUUGGUUCGAAUCUAACCCAAGCUACUCGAACCCCAAUACGAGCCCCAAGAACCCUAAAAAUUCAAGCCUUGUUUAAGUGUCCAAAUUGAGAGAUUUGAGUGUUCAAGCGACCUUAGUCGAAGUGUUCCCAGUUGAGAACACUCGAUUAAGGUCUGUUUUGCCUCAAAGGCUCAAGGUCCGAAAUUGGCCCGAGAUGUUUGAUUUUCUGAUUUUUUCUUCUAAAGUUACCCCUUAUUCUUUUUCUUCUAUUUUUCACUAACUAAUUUAGUUUAGUUUUGUUAUUUUUAUAUUUUCCAAUUUUUUGCCGAGUUCUCUUUUUUUCCAAAUCGAAGUCCUUUCAUUUGGUCGAUUUUUAUUCUGUUUGAUGUGUUUGUUAUAGAAUACAUGUUCGAUUCGAUUAGUAUUGUCGAAUAAUUUGUUUCAUAUUUACCCUAUUUUGUCCGAAUGCCAUGAGUCCGAGGUUGUGUGUCGAUUAUUUGUUGUCAAUUAUAUGUUUGUAAUCGAUUUGAUUGUUGUCGUCGAUUAGUUGAUUGUAUUAUAAUCCAAUAUUUUUGUCAAAUACGGGUCGAAUCACUUGUAUAUUUUUCUGUUGAUUAUUUGUCGAUAAUUGUUGUACAUUAUGGCCUAUAUGGUCGAUUAAAUAAGUAUCGUCAUUGAAAUGUGCUUGAAAAUUUCAGAGGCACUGAUUUUGUUUUGUUCAAGUAUAAUGUCAACAUAUUUUCUGAUUGUUUGAAUCAUUGUUGGAUUUAGAUGAUGAAUUGGUUAUAGUUGCAUAAUCAGAAGUUUAAUUCUGUUCAGUUUGUUAAGUUUAAGUAGAUUUUAGUUUUAAGUCUGAUUAAUAUUAGGGGGUAGGAUAGUUGUUGCAGUAGUUUCAGGGGUAACGUAGGAACAUGAAAUUUGAAAAAUUGGUUUGAUUGAGCGUUCUGUCCAGUAGGGCCCUAAUAGCUGUAAUUUGAACUAAUUGGUAGGGGGCCACUAAGUAAUGAGAGUGUUUACUUAAUUGAAAUUAGAAAUAGUAUCAGUAAUAAUAAAAGGGUAAAAGAUAGACUUAGUUAGGAGAAUAUUGGCCUGGAAAGUGAAAAGAGGUAUAAGUAAUAAUAAAAAGGUGAUAGUAAAAGAAAAAAUAAGGGUUGGGAAGAGGGGUCUAGUGGUGGAUAUAAAUAGAAGAGGUCUUAGAACUUGAACUGUGGGAGAAGAUCUUUUCAGUCUAAGAAGGAUUCAAAAAGAAAUAGAACAAAAACCUCAAUGUUUUGAUAACUUCUUUCGAUCAAUUUUUGAAGAUAAAAAAAAGAGCUUGGAGAGAAAAGAACGGUUCCAUUGUUUCUUUUUGAGUUCAUUUUUCAAUCUAUAACUGAAUUUCAGUUUCUAUAUGCUUUUGAAAAACCAGAAUAGUGCUUUGAACUAGAGGUUUUACCCAGGGAUACUGUUACGUUAGUUUUGAGAGCAGAAAUAGUCAGAAUCUCUUGUUUUCUAUUCUAUAUUUGGGUAUUCAAAACAUUUGAGUUGAUUGUUGAUCUGUGUGGAGUACAGUCUGUUUGGCCGUGUGGGUUUUUGAGACUGGUUUUGAGUUUUUGCUAGAUUCUAAGCUUUUGUUCCUUCUGCUACUGUUGGUUCUACUGUGUUGCUGAAACUGUUGUUAUCUACUGUUACUGUUGUUGGCUUCCUACUGAUCUUCCCCUUCUUCUUUGCUUUUCCAAAUACCAGGUACCCACAUCUGAUACACUUGCUCAAUGUAGAUGUAACUUGAAGCAUGAAUAAAAUGAAAUCUUAAAGCUUUGAAUUCAUUUAGUCAUUUCGUAUCUUAAGUUAUGCAUAUGUAGUUAAUAGUCUUCACUAGAACAUGUAAAGUGAUUGUUAUGUAUGACCGAGUAUAAAUCUGUAAUAGUUUAGAUGAUAAACUCUUUCUCUCGUAUGUUAGUUUAAACGAGCUAAUGACGUAGUAAUUCGUUUUCUGUUAUUUCAGUCCAUUUUAUUUAAAAGCAUGAAUAGGCCUUAGUUGAUUAAUACAUAGCUUAAGCCAUUUCAGUGGAUAAAAAUGCAUAAUCAAACUUGGAAAAACUUGUGUAAUUAGAC